rnacentral:rRNA from 1 species
UACAGAGGGUGCGAGCGUUAAUCGGAAUUACUGGGCGUAAAGCGUGCGUAGACGGUUAUUUAAGUCGGGUGUGAAAGCCCCGGGCUCAACCUGGGAAUUGCAUUCGAGACUGAAUAGCUAGGGUACGGUAGAGGGAAGCGGAAUUUCCGGUGUAGCGGUGAAAUGCGUAGAUAUCGGAAGGAACAUCAGUGGCGAAAGCGACUACCUGGCCUGUUCUUGACGCUGAGGCGCGAAAGCUAGGGGAGCAAACGGG